rnacentral:rRNA from 1 species
UAGGGAAUCUUCGGCAAUGGACGAAAGUCUGACCGAGCAACGCCGCGUGAGUGAAGAAGGUUUUCGGAUCGUAAAACUCUGUUGUUAGAGAAGAACAAGGACGUUAGUAACUGAACGUCCCCUGACGGUAUCUAACCAGAAAGCCACGGCUAACUACGUGCCAGCAGCCGCGGUAAUACGUAGGUGGCAAGCGUUGUCCGGAUUUAUUGGGCGUAAAGCGAGCGCAGGCGGUUUCUUAAGUCUGAUGUGAAAGCCCCCGGCUCAACCGGGGAGGGUCAUUGGAAACUGGGAGACUUGAGUGCAGAAGAGGAUGGUGGAAUUCCACGUGUAGCGGUGAAAUGCGUAGAUAUAUGGAGGAACACCGGUGGCGAAGGCGGCUCUCUGGUCUAUAACUGACGCUGAGGCUCGAAAGCGUGGGGAGCAAACAGG